CCUACGGGUGGCAGCAGUGAGGAAUAUUGGUCAAUGGACGAGAGUCUGAACCAGCCAAGUAGCGUGAAGGAUGACUGCCCUAUGGGUUGUAAACUUCUUUUAUAUGGGAAUAAAACGUUCCACGUGUGGGAUUUUGUAUGUACCAUAUGAAUAAGGAUCGGCUAACUCCGUGCCAGCAGCCGCGGUAAUACGGAGGAUCCGAGCGUUAUCCGGAUUUAUUGGGUUUAAAGGGAGCGUAGGUGGAUUGUUAAGUCAGUUGUGAAAGUUUGCGGCUCAACCGUAAAAUUGCAGUUGAAACUGGCAGUCUUGAGUACAGUAGAGGUGGGCGGAAUUCGUGGUGUAGCGGUGAAAUGCUUAGAUAUCACGAAGAACUACGAUUGCGAAGGCAGUUCACUGGACUGCAACUGACACUGAGGCUCGAAAGUGUGGGUAUCAAACAGGAUUAGAUACCCCAGUAGUC
rnacentral:rRNA from 1 species